UACAGAGGGGGCAAGCGUUGUUCGGAAUUACUGGGCGUAAAGGGCGCGUAGGCGGCCUUCUAAGUCGAACGUGAAAUCCCCGGGCUCAACCCGGGAACUGCGUCCGAUACUGGAAGGCUUGAAUCCGGGAGAGGGAUGUGGAAUUCCAGGUGUAGCGGUGAAAUGCGUAGAGAUGGGGAGAACACUCGUGGCGAAGGCGGCCAGCUAGACCAGUUCUGACACUGAGGCGCGACAGCGUGGGAGCAAACAGG
rnacentral:rRNA from 1 species